rnacentral:rRNA from 1 species
AUACGGAGGGAGCAAGCGUUAUGCGGAAUCACUGGGCGUAAAGGACGCGUAGGCGGGUUUGUAAGUCAGGUGUGAAAUCCUACAGCUCAACUGUAGAACUGCACUUGAAACUACAGACCUAGAGUAUGGAAGGGGCAGAUGGAAUUAGUGGUGUAGGGGUCAAAUCCGUAGAUAUCACUAGGAAUACCGAAAGCGAAGGCGAUCUGCUGGGACAUUACUGACGCUGAGGCGUGAAAGCGUGGGGAGCAAACAGGAUUAGAAACCCCAGUAGUCC